UUUAAUUUAAAAGUGCCUUUCGUUUUUCUUGAGUGUAGAUUUAAAAGUUCUCCCUUUUACGAUAAAAAUUGUUGAACAGUCAAACCACCCGCUGAUGUCAAGUCUAUCGAGUGGACUCAAUGACAGCAAAAGUGAUCGAAUUAUUAUUGUAUUGUUUUUAAAUUAUCAUCCGAUCCCGCGUACGAAUUCGAUCCGAAACAUUUUUUAAAAAGUUUGGAUUGCGACGUCUGCAGCGGCAAGGGUUGAUAUUCUGUAAGCCUCCUCGAGAUAAAGAAUCAAGCCAUGACCGUUUCAGCAAAUUGUUUGGUACUGGAGCACUUUCAUGCUGCCCGCUCCCCUUUUUUGUUAUUCAUGGUGAAAUUCACUGCUCACCUACAUCGAACGCUCGUGCAUUUACUAGCAGUGUACUCAGGUAAUUUACUAGCGGUGGCGAAGACUUACAUGCCUCGAAUAAAAUCGGAGCGCCAGGCUGCUUAGGGUGGAAAAUCGCAAGGGAUUGUCUGCAGCGAAUCAAAAUAAAUUGGCGGCGAUAUAGAUAAUCACCGAAGAUGUUCUCCUAGUAUUUCGAAAUUGCCAUGUCUUCCGCAUUCCAGCACCAGGCAGAAACGCAGUAUUGACUCCAGCGCAGAGAUACAACGGCAACAGUUCUUAAUUUAAAAGUUCAUAGUUUUCGUUGAAAACAGCAUGUCUUUUUCCAUAUUUUUGAAUGAAUUAAAUAAAACUUCCAUUUCAAUGUUGAUUUUGA